rnacentral:rRNA from 1 species
UUGAACUGAGAAUAUAAGGGUAGAGCUUUAUAUUCAAUAAUUAAUUAAAGAUGAAUAAAUAAAAAUUGUUUAUAAAUUAGGCUUUAUAGUGGCCAUAUUUUUAAAGUAUUUUAACUAAUAAAAUAAAAAAAUUUUUAUUAUUAAUUCUCUUGAAAAUAAUUAGUAGAAUAAAUUUUAUAUUAAAAAUAGAUUAGGGAUAAUGAAAAUAUUAGUAGAAAUAUAAUUAUUAAAAUUUAAAUAAUAGGUUUAAUAAUUUUUUUUAAUAAUAAAAUAAAGAAAAAUUAAAGGAAUUCGGCAAAUUUUUUUCUUGCCUGUUUAACAAAAACAU